ACAGAGGGUGCUAGCGUUGUUCGGAAUUAUUGGGCGUAAAGCGCGUGUAGGCGGCCUUACAAGUCAGGUGUGAAAGCCCUCGGCUUAACCGAGGAAGUGCGCCUGAAACUGUUCGGCUUGAGUACCGGAGAGGGUGGUGGAAUUCCCGGUGUAGAGGUGAAAUUCGUAGAUAUCGGGAGGAACACCAGCGGCGAAGGCGACCACCUGGACGGCUACUGACGCUGAGACGCGAAAGCGUGGGGAGCAAACA
rnacentral:rRNA from 1 species